UCGAGAAUCUUUCGCAAUGGGCGCAAGCCUGACGAAGCGACGCCGCGUGAAGGAUGAAGUAUUUCGGUAUGUAAACUUCGAAAGAAUAGGAAGAAUAAAUGACGGUACUAUUUAUAAGGUCCGGCUAACUACGUGCCAGCAGCCGCGGUAAUACGUAGGGACCAAGCGUUGUUCGGAUUUACUGGGCGUAAAGGGCGCGUAGGCGGCAUGACAAGUCACUUGUGAAAUCUCUGGGCUUAACCCAGAACGGCCAAGUGAUACUGUCGCGCUAGAGUGCAGAAGGGGCAAUCGGAAUUCUUGGUGUAGCGGUGAAAUGCGUAGAUAUCAAGAGGAACACCUGAGGUGAAGACGGGUUGCUGGGCUGACACUGACGCUGAGGCGCGAAAGCCAGGGGAGCAAACGGGAUUAGAUACCCCGGUAGUCCCUGAGCGGGCUGGCAAGGCGCAU
rnacentral:rRNA from 1 species